rnacentral:lncRNA from 10 species
GGUCGUACAUGCACAUGACCUGAACAAAGUGGCUAUGAAUUCUAGCAACUUCAAGUGAAUUUUCUGCCAAAAAUUCUUGCUAAAGUAAUAUCUGAACACCUUUCAAAGUGAAAUGCUUGUUUUUUGGCAAUAUAUUUACAGCAUCAAUCUUUUUGUGUGCUGCAGUCAUGAGGUCUUGGAGACAGCCUUAGUUUCUGAACCUCAGGGUCUGGAUUUAUGUGCUCACUGGAACAAGUAACAUUGAAAGAAUGUCACCAUUAUUCUUAAUCAAGGUGAAGUGAGUUUACUGCACCCCUUUCUGAAACAAGGGCUGCAUAGCUGUACUAAAGAAAAAUGAGCAACUCCUAUAUAUUAAAUGAUCGCCACCCCUGCCCCCUAAAUAAAUAUUUAAAAUCCAGCUUGUUUGCUUUCUAAGGGGUUGGCAAACUACAGCCUGCAAGCCAAAUCUAGCCUGAGACUUGCUUUUAUAAAGUUUUGUUGGAACAAAGCUAUGCUUUCAUGCAUUAUCUAUGGCUGCUUUUGCACUAUGAGAGCUGAGAGUUGAAAGGUUGCAACAGAAACUAUAUAGCCUAUAAUAUGUACUUUCUGGCCUUUAUAGAAAAAGUUUGCUACUCUGUUUGCUCCUUCCUCUUUUAGACAUGUGUGUCUCUAUAAAAGGGUUAAAGAGAGAAAGUUGCAUAUGCAUUUCACUGAGAGUCCACCAUUUCUACCCUAGAAAAAGAUAAGGAUAAGAAGUCAUAUCUGUUGUCAGAAACCCUUCGGUGGGACAAAAUUUUGCCAAUUUAAGUAAACCAUGAUUUUAAAAACGAGGCUGGGGGAGUGGGGUGGGUGUGUGCUAAGAAGACCCUCUUCUCUUACUGGAACAGUAAAUGAGUCAGCUGUGGGUUAUGGGCAGACCCCUUGUUUAUCUAUCCCCCAGAACUCCCCACUCUAUCACAAUGUAAGAUACAUCAGGAGCUAAGGUCCAGACUGGCUGGAAAACUGAGAUUCUACCUUGAGGCAGAGAUUAGAUAAUACCUAGAUAUUGAGUAUUGUAUUUCCUAGAAUAUGAAGGGUGUGUGAAGCCCUCUGAACAGUACCCAUCUCUCAGUGUGCAGAAAUUUCUCUUUCACCAAGUUAAAAAAUAAUUCAAGUAUGGUCUAUUCCAGAGAGAGGAGGCAUUCCCAAGUUGUCAGAAUCCUAAAGCAGACAUCAUGGAGUAUUUAUUUCCAUGCUCCUUCUAACUUGGUCAUACCAAAUUUGAACGUGAAAAUUCUUUUCAAAUGCUCAGCAUUUAGUUAUAUUGACAAAUAAUUCCUCACUAAAUUCAUCCAAAUAGAAUAUGCAUUCUUAAACAUUUUAAAAUAGAUUUCAACUGAGGAACAAGUACAAUAAACAAAUGUUAUAUAGUAAAU